CCUGCAUACUCUAAACUGUUGCCUGCAGAAAGAGGACCUGGGGAUUUAAGUGCUCAGACUGCUUGCAUUCAAGUGUUCCAGACGAUAUGCCAGAGGUGUUCCCGAACAAGUUGCCUGUCGGUGCAAGCUUCAAAAGAGAUACUUAAAUGGCCAACCCCAUUCAUCCCGUAAACCAGGAAAGGAGUAUAAAUCUGUUGAAGAAUCUUAAGAGUCAAAUCUUCUGAGCCUGGACAGAGUGCUGCGGGCAUCUCUGAGGCCUCCUCCUUCUGAGAAUUACCAGGUCUGACAACACGUUCCCUCCAGCCUACUGUGAGGGACGUCCUCUCGACUUACAGCCCUCAAGCCGUGGCAGCUGGGCAGGAACCUUACCUGCUCCAUCCUGAGGGGAGACUCUGAGAGACAAGAAGGGUGAAAAUUCAGAUAUGCUGAGCCUGAAAUACACAAAAGCCUUUAGAAAGUCUCCUCACAGAGGAACCCAGUGAAAUCCACGUGAUUAGUGUGCACACUUAGAUGAGCCGUAGGUAAAAGAGAGAACCUUUCUCCCACCAUCAAAGUAGAGUAAAAGCCUGAUAUCACACUCUGUGAUCUCUU